GUAAACAUUGUUGCUCGCGUUCCUGGGAGCUUGAAGAAAUUUACGAGAUUCAACAUUUCUACGGAAUUGUGAGCAUCACCUGUACAAUGUAACUGUGCAGUACAGUACUAUAAACAAUCGUUUUAAAACGCAAUAUCUUUCGCAGACAACUGAAAGCGAGCAUUGGAAGUUCGGAACCAUCAACGCACAUGGUUGCUGAGAGUCAACAGCUGUCUCCUGAGCAUCUAUCUACCAUUUCGUGUGGCGAAGACUGGCUUCACCGCCGGACAGACAUCUUUGGAGUUUUAUGAAGGAGUCAACAACAUUGUGACUUGACUACAUUAGUUUUCAAACUCCAAUCAGUGGCACUCUUCAGUGAGGACGAGAUGGCGAUAAUUGACAGCAUUGAAAUGACCAAGUCUCCCACUCCCAUGCUGGUGACAAAUAACACCUUCCAAGAUGUCAUGACCACAAGAGAAAUAGCACACAAGUGCCAGCAUCUGCCUGCGAACUUGCAAAAUUUACUUUUAA